GGGUCAAAAUGAAAAUUUGUAAAAAUAUGAUUUUUAGACCCAUAUGAAUAUUGUGACUGAUUGGUAGGCUAAAUGUGAUGUUAUAGAUGAUGAAAAUUGAGAUUUGGACCUAGAACGGAAAGAAAUCGAUUUAUGGACGAGUAUGUCUUUUCACCUUUGUGGUAUCGAGUGUUAAGAGCUCGGAGGUCGGAUUUGGUCGGAGACACAUCACACUGUCAACCUCAGGAUUUCGAGUUUCCAGGUUAGCUCGGGUUGGAGGCCGUCAGAGAUAUUAUCACCCUAUCGAGUUAACGUUAUCGGAGUAAGUAAACUCAAGUGAUUCGAGUCUAUGGCAUGUAUAGGGUUUUAAUGUGAGUAUGUAAUAUUAUGAUUUAGCCAAAGGCAUUGGCUUGUUAUUAAGGUAGUAUUAGUUAUGUAAAUUGGCCUAUGUCGGCUAAUAUCGUUACGGGCCCAUAUGAUUAUUCUUAUUCAAUUAUGUUAUUAUUUCUUGUGAUGUGGCUUACAACAUGUAUGCCUAGAGAUUGAAUUGAGAUUCAUUGAUGAGCUAGUAACUAAUGCAGGAUUAAGUGAUUGGUAAAUAGUUAAUAAUGCUUCAUGAAUGGUUUGUGAUGUAAUGAUAGUUAUGUCUAGUAUGUGGUAAUGAUAUGGGCAAAUUCUAUAA